UACAGAGGUGGCAAGCGUUGUUCGGAAUUACUGGGCGUAAAGGGCGCGUAGGCGGUUCGUUAAGUCCUGUGUGAAAUCCCCCCGGCUCAACUGGGGAACUGCACAGGAAACUAGCGGGCUUGAGUUCGGGAGAGGGAAGCGGAAUUCCGGGUGUAGCGGUGAAAUGCGUAGAUAUCCGGAGGAACACCGGUGGCGAAGGCGGCUGCUGCGGACUGGACAGCGCGAACUGGAGCAAACGGA
rnacentral:rRNA from 1 species